AUACGUAGGGGACGAGCGUUGUCCGGAAUUACUGGGCGUAAAGGGCGCGCAGGCGGAUAUUUAAGUCAGCUGUAAAAGGCAUGAGCUCAACUCAUGUAUGCGGUUGAAACUGGGUAUCUAGAGUGCUGGAGAGGUAGGCGGGAUUCCCGGUGUAGCGGUGAAAUGCGUAGAUAUCGGGAAGAACACCAGUGGCGAAGGCGGCUUACUGGCCAGCAACUGACGCUGAGGCGCGAAAGCCAGGGGAGCGAACGGGAUUAGAUACCCCGGUAGUCCUGGCCGUAAACGAUGAAUGCUAGGUGUGGGUGUCGAGAGGCAUCCGUGCCGGAGUUAACGCGAUAAGCAUUCCGCCUGGGGAGUACGAUCGCAAGAUUGAAACUCGAAUGAAUUGACGGGG
rnacentral:rRNA from 1 species